rnacentral:sRNA from 2 species
CGGCCGACACCGCCGAGUCGCCGCCCCAGGCGAUCCGGGGACCCAGGUACGCCGGGGUGAAUCCACAGCCACUGUGGUAGGGCGUCCCCUUCCGCCCGAACCCGUCAGCUAACCCGGUAGGCGGUUCGUCAGAAGGAGU